GACGUAGGGCGCGAGCGUUGUCCGGAUUUAUUGGGCGUAAAGAGCUCGUAGGCGGCUUGUCGCGUCAACUGUGAAAACCCGUGGCUCAACCAUGUGGUCUGCAGUCGAUACGGGCAGGCUAGAAUUCGGUAGGGGAGACUGGAAUUCCUGGUGUAGCGGUGAAAUGCGCAGAUAUCAGGAGGAACACCGGUGGCGAAGACGGGUCUCUGGGCCGAUAUUGACGCUGAGGAGCGAAAGCGUGGGGAGCGAACAGG
rnacentral:rRNA from 1 species